AAAUAUAUAUAUAUAUAUAUAUCCUAUUUUAACUAAAUGGUUCUUCUGUAUAAUUUAUUAGUUGAUUUGGCAACUGCAUGUUAACCCUAAUCAGAAUAGUAGUGUAAUCAUUAUUAUAUUACAAAUACAGUUGCAUCCAACCAAAAUAAUCUAAGGGUAUUGACAUGUUUUCUCAUAAGUUUUUGUUUUAGGCUUCAUUGGCUGAAAUGAAAUGCAAGUCUAAACCAUUGAUUAUUGAAAUUACUAAAAACACAAAUGGAUAGCACUCAGCAAUUUUACCUGUACUAUCAUUCUCACUAUGAGUUUUAGUUUGAUCCUGCUGCCUGUGAUUUUGUAAAUGUGUUAAUUUGAAUUAUUCAAAGAGAAGAGGUUUGUUGCUAUCAUAUGCAAUGGAUUGCAAUUUUAACAAUGUUAUUUUCAUUGCAUAAAUUUACCCCAGGAUUUAUACAUUUAUUUCAUCGCCAAGGGGAAACUCACCUGUACGUAAGUGGUGAUAUAAUCAAAGAUUAACUCAGUUGAAUUGACUACAAGAAAAAUGAAACUGAAAAGCUUUCAACACGAAAUUACCAUGGAAACACAUCAUUGUUGUCGGGUUGUGCAUGAAAUUUUUGUUACUUUUCCUUCAUAUCAAGAUUUCAAUGCAUGUGCUGAAUCUCAGGUUGUAAAUGAUUUGUGCAAGGCACGCCUGCGAUUCUUAUCAGCAGCCAAUGUUGGAAUUCUUCUUGAUA
rnacentral:misc_RNA from 1 species